rnacentral:rRNA from 1 species
GACGAACGCUGGCGGCGUGCCUAAUACAUGCAAGUCGAGCGGACGGAUGGGAGCUUGCUCCCAGACCGUCAGCGGCGGACGGGUGAGUAACACGUGGGCAACCUGCCUGUAAGACUGGGAUAACUCCGGGAAACCGGGGCUAAUACCGGAUAACUCUUUCCCUCACAUGAGGGAAAGCUGAAAGAUGGCAUCUCGCUAUCACUUACAGAUGGGCCCGCGGCGCAUUAGCUAGUUGGUGAGGUAACGGCUCACCAAGGCGACGAUGCGUAGCCGACCUGAGAGGGUGAUCGGCCACACUGGGACUGAGACACGGCCCAGACUCCGACGGGAGGCAGCAGUAGGGAAUCUUCCGCAAUGGACGAAAGUCUGACGGAGCAACGCCGCGUGAGUGAUGAAGGUUUUCGGAUCGUAAAACUCUGUUGUCAGGGAAGAACAAGUACCGGAGUAACUGCCGGUACCUUGACGGUACCUGACCAGAAAGCCACGGCUAACUACGUG